GCUAAUACUCUAUACUCCUGUCUUACAUAAGUUAGAUAGGGAAAGUUUUUCGGUGUAGGAUGAGGCUAUAUUGUAUCAGCUAGUUGGUGAGGUAAUGGCUCACCAAGGCUAUGACGCAUAACUGGUCUGAGAGGAUGAUCAGUCACACUGGAACUGAGACACGGUCCAGACUCCUACGGGAGGCAGCAGUAGGGAAUAUUGCUCAAUGGGGGAAACCCUGAAGCAGCAACGCCGCGUGGAGGAUGACACUUUUCGGAGCGUAAACUCCUUUUGUUAGGGAAGAACAAUGACGGUACCUAACGAAUAAGCACCGGCUAACUCCGUGCCAGCAGCCGCGGUAAUACGGAGGGUGCAAGCGUUACUCGGAAUCACUGGGCGUAAAGGACGCGUAGGCGGAUUAUCAAGUCUCUUGUGAAAUCCUAUGGCUUAACCAUAGAACUGCUUGGGAAACUGGUAAUCUAGAGUGAGGGAGAGGCAGAUGGAAUUGGUGGUGUAGGGGUAAAAUCCGUAGAGAUCACCAGGAAUACCCAUUGCGAAGGCGAUCUGCUGGAACUCAACUGACGCUAAUGCGUGAAAGCGUGGGGAGCAAACAGGAUUAGAUACCCUGGUAGUCCACGCCCUAAACGAUGUAUACUAGUUGUUGCUAAGCUAGUCUUGGCAGUAAUGCACCUAACGGAUUAAGUAUACCGCCUGGGGAGUACGGUCGCAAGAUUAAAACUCAAAGGAAUAGACGGGGACCCGCACAAGCGGUGGAGCAUGUGGUUUAAUUCGAAAAUACGCGAAGAACCUUACCCGGACUUGAUAUCUAACAAAUCAUCUAGAGAUAGAAGAGUGUCUGCUUGCAGAAAUGUUAAGACAGGUGCUGCACGGCUGUCGUCAGCUCGUGUCGUGAGAUGUUGGGUUAAGUCCCGCAACGAGCGCAACCCACGUCAUUAGUUGUUAACAGUUCGGCUGAGCAUUCUAAUGAGACUGCCUUCGUAAGGAGGAGGAAGGUGUGGAUGACGUCAAGUCAUCAUGGCCCUUAUGUCCGGGGCGACACACGUGCUACAAUGGCAUAUACAAUGAGAAGCAAUAUC
rnacentral:rRNA from 1 species